GCGGAUGUGGUGGAAUUGGUAGACACGUUAGCCUUAGGAGCUAAUGUCGCAAGACGUGAAGGUUCAAGUCCUUUCAUCCGCACCA
rnacentral:tRNA from 1 species